rnacentral:rRNA from 1 species
ACUUAAGCAUAUCAAUAAGCGGAGGAAAAAGAAACCAACAGGGAUUACCUCAGUAACGGCGAGUGAAGCGGUAACAGCUCAAAUUUGAAAGCUAGCUCUUUUAGGGUUCGCAUUGUAAUUUGUAGAAGAUGCUUCGGGUGUGGCCCCGGUCUAAGUUCCUUGGAACAGGACGUCAUAGAGGGUGAGAAUCCCGUAUGUGACUGGGUGCUUUCGCUCAUGUGAAGCUCUUUCGACGAGUCGAGUUGUUUGGGAAUGCAGCUCAAAAUGGGUGGUAAAUUUCAUCUAAAGCUAAAUAUUGGCCAGAGACCGAUAGCGCACAAGUAGAGUGAUCGAAAGAUGAAAAGCACUUUGGAAAGAGAGUUAAACAGUACGUGAAAUUGUUGAAAGGGAAGCGCUUGCAACCAGACUUGCGCGCUGAUGAUCAUCCGGGCUUCUGCCCGGUGCACUCGUCUGCGCUCAGGCCAGCAUCGGUUUUGGUGGUGGGAUAAAGGCCUUGGGAAUGUAGCUUCUUUCGGGGAGUGUUAUAGCCCUCGGUGCAAUGCCGCCUACCGGGACCGAGGACCGCGCUUCGGCUAGGAUGCUGGCGUAAUGGUUGUAAGCGACCCGUCUUGAAACACGGACCAAGGAGUCUAACAUCUAUGCGAGUGUUUGGGUGUCAAACCCAUACGCGUAAUGAAAGUGAACGGAGGUGAGAACCCUUAAGGGUGCAUCAUCGACCGAUCCUGAUGUCUUCGGAUGGAUUUGAGUAAGAGCAUAGCUGUUGGGACCCGAAAGAUGGUGAACUAUGCGUGAAUAGGGUGAAGCCAGAGGAAACUCUGGUGGAGGCUCGCAGCGGUUCUGACGUGCAAAUCGAUCGUCAAAUUUGCGUAUAGGGGCGAAAGACUAAUCGA